rnacentral:rRNA from 1 species
GGUCGGGGGAUGACGGUACCGGAAGAAUAAGCACCGGCUAACUACGUGCCAGCAGCCGCGGUAAUACGUAGGGUGCAAGCGUUAAUCGGAAUUACUGGGCGUAAAGCGUGCGCAGGCGGUUUGCUAAGACCGAUGUGAAAUCCCCGGGCUCAACCUGGGAACUGCAUUGGUGACUGGCAGGCUAGAGUAUGGCAGAGGGGGGUAGAAUUCCACGUGUAGCAGUGAAAUGCGUAGAGAUGUGGAGGAAUACCGAUGGCGAAGGCAGCCCCCUGGGCCAAUACUGACGCUCAUGCACGAAAGCGUGGGGAGCAAACAGGAUUAGAUACCCUGGUAGUCCACGCCCUAAACGAUGUCAACUAGUUGUUGGGGAUUCAUUUCCUUAGUAACGUAGCUAACGCGUGAAGUUGACCGCCUGGGGAGUACGGUCGCAAGAUUAAAACUCAAAGGAAUUGACGGGGACCCGCACAAGCGGUGGAUGAUGUGGAUUAAUUCGAUGCAACGCGAAAAACCUUACCUACCCUUGACAUGGUCGGAAUCCUGCUGAGAGG